GAUUCUUGGAGAAGGAAAAGAUAUUACUUAACUUCAUAUGGUGAAGACCAUUUCAAUCAAGUCUAUAAGACAUGAAAAUACAAAGGGAAAGAUUUGCUAUUAUUUCCUUCCCAUGGCUACUUCAUGAGAAGAAACACAAAAUGGAAUGCUUCAUGAGAAGAAACACAGAAUGGAAUGAGAAUAGUGAAAUGACAACAAUUUUUGCUAUAAUAUACUAAAGCUAGAUCUUGCCAGCACAAAGAAGUGUACAAGAUUGCUUUCCUGAUCUGUAGACAUACAUGGA